AAGCCAGACUCCUACGGGAGGCAGCAGUGGGGGAUAUUGCACAAUGGGGGGAACCCUGAUGCAGCGACGCCGCGUGGGUGAAGAAGCGCCUCGGCGCGUAAAGCCCUGUCAGCAGGGAAGAAAAUGACGGUACCUGAAGAAGAAGCCCCGGCUAACUACGUGCCAGCAGCCGCGGUAAUACGUAGGGGGCAAGCGUUAUCCGGAUUUACUGGGUGUAAAGGGGGCGCAGACGGCGAUGCAAGCCAGGAGUGAAAGCCCGGGGCCCAACCCCGGGACUGCUCUUGGAACUGCGCGGCUGGAGUGCAGGAGGGGCAGGCGGAAUUCCUGGUGUAGCGGUGAAAUGCGUAGAUAUUAGGAGGAACACCGGCGGCGAAGGCGGCCUGCUGGACCGUAACUGACGUUGAGGCUCGAAAGCGUGGGGAGCAAACAGGAUUAGAUACCCUUGUA
rnacentral:rRNA from 1 species